UUCGGAUUAAUACCCCAUAAGGUCAAUUUGAGGCAUCUCAAAUUGAUUAAAGCUCCGGCGGUUAGAGAUGGGCAUGCGUGUCAUUAGCUAGUUGGUGAGGUAACGGCUCACCAAGGCCACGAUGACUAGGGGGUCUGAGAGGAUGAUCCCCCACACUGGUACUGAGACACGGACCAGACUCCUACGGGAGGCAGCAGUGAGGAAUAUUGGGCAAUGGACGCAAGUCCGACCCAGCCAUGCCGCGUGCAGGAUGACUGCCCUAUGGGUUGUAAACUGCUUUUGUUUGGGAAGAACUCCCCGAUCGUGAUCGGGGCUGACGGUACCUUACGAAUAAGCAUCGGCUAACUCCGUGCCAGCAGCCGCGGUAAUACGGAGGAUGCAAGCGUUAUCCGGAUUCAUUGGGUUUAAAGGGUGCGCAGGCGGAAUAUUAAGUCAGUGGUGAAAUCCUGCAGCUUAACUGUAGAACUGCCAUUGAUACUGGUAUUCUUGAAUGUAGUUGAGGUGGGCGGAAUGUGUAAUGUAGCGGUGAAAUGCUUAGAUAUUACACAGAACACCAAUUGCGAAGGCAGCUCACUAAACUAUGAUUGACGCUGAGGCACGAAAGCGUGGGUAGCAAACAGGAUUAGAUACCCUGGUAGUCCACGCCGUAAACUAUGAUCACUCGCUGUUGGCAAUACAUCGUCAGCGGCUGAGCGAAAGCAUUAAGUGAUCCACCUGGCGAGUACGGUCGCAAGAUUGAAACUCAAAGGAAUUGACGGGGGCCCGCACAAGCGGAGGAACAUGUGGUUANAUUCGAUGAUACGCGAGGAACCUUACCUGGGCUUAAAUGCAGAGCGACGUUCCGGGAAACCGGAAUUCCUUCGGGCGAUCUGCAAGGUGCUGCAUGGCUGUCGUCAGCUCGUGCCGUGAGGUGUCGGGUUAAGUCCCAUAACGAGCGCAACCCUUAUCGUUAGUUGCCAGCGGGUAAUGCCGGGGACUCUAACG
rnacentral:rRNA from 1 species